rnacentral:rRNA from 1 species
GCAGUCGAACGAUGAUGCCCAGCUUGCUGGGCGGAUUAGUGGCGAACGGGUGAGUAAUACGUGAGUAACCUGCCCUUGACUCUGGGAUAAGCCUGGGAAACUGGGUCUAAUACUGGAUACUACCUCUUGCCGCAUGGUGGGUGGUGGAAAGGGUUUUACUGGUUUUGGAUGGGCUCACGGCCUAUCAGCUUGUUGGUGGGGUAAUGGCUCACCAAGGCGACGACGGGUAGCCGGCCUGAGAGGGUGACCGGCCACACUGGGACUGAGACACGGCCCAGACUCCUACGGGAGGCAGCAGUGGGGAAUAUUGCACAAUGGGCGGAAGCCUGAUGCAGCGACGCCGCGUGAGGGAUGACGGCCUUCGGGUUGUAAACCUCUUUCAGUAGGGAAGAAGCGAGAGUGACGGUACCUGCAGAAGAAGCGCCGGCUAACUACGUGCCAGCAGCCGCGGUAAUACGUAGGGCGCAAGCGUUGUCCGGAAUUAUUGGGCGUAAAGAGCUCGUAGGCGGUUUGUCGCGUCUGCUGUGAAAGCCCGGGGCUCAACCCCGGGUCUGCAGUGGGUACGGGCAGACUAGAGUGCAGUAGGGGAGACUGGAAUUCCUGGUGUAGCGGUGAAAUGCGCAGAUAUCAGGAGGAACACCGAUGGCGAAGGCAGGUCUCUGGGCUGUUACUGACGCUGAGGAGCGAAAGCAUGGGGAGCGAACAGGAUUAGAUACCCUGGUAGUCCAUGCCGUAAACGUUGGGCACUAGGUGUGGGGGACAUUCCACGUUUUCGCGCCGUAGCUAACGCAUUAAGUGCCCCGCCUGGGGGAGUACGGCCGCAAGGCUAAAACUCAAAGGAAUUGACGGGGGCCCGCACAAGCGGCGGAAGCAUGCGGAUUAAUUCGAUGCAACGCGAAGAACCUUACCAAGGCUUGACAUUCACCCGGACCCCCCAGAGAUGGGGUUUCCCUUCGGGGCUGGUGGACAGGUGGUGCAUGGUUGUCGUCAGCUCGUGUCGUGAGAUGUUGGGUUAAGUCCCGCAACGAGCGCAACCCUCGUUUUAUGUUGCCAGCACGUGAUGGUGGGGACUCAUAGGAGACUGCCGGGGUCAACUCGGAGGAAGGUGGGGAUGACGUCAAAUCAUCAUGCCCCUUAUGUCUUGGGCUUCACGCAUGCUACAAUGGCCGGUACAAAGGGUUGCGAUACUGUGAGGUGGAGCUAAUCCCAAAAAGCCGGUCUCAGUUCGGAUUGAGGUCUGCAACUCGACCUCAUGAAGUCGGAGUCGCUAGUAAUCGCAGAUCAGCAACGCUGCGGUGAAUACGUUCCCGGGCCUUGUACACACCGCCCGUCAAGUCACGAAAGUUGGUAACACCCGAAGCCGGUGGCCUAACCCCUUGUGGGAGGGAGCCGUCGAAGGUGGGACUGGCGAUUGGA